rnacentral:lncRNA from 1 species
CCCACACACAGUUCUGGCUGAAGUGCUCUGUUUCCUGUGUGCCACUGUUCUUGUGCAGGAACACGAUACAGGAGGCUUCUGAGAUCACAGCCUGAGUUGUCCCUGCAGUAGUGCCCUCCUGGCGAUGAACGUCUAAAAAUGGUGUUGAAACUCUGCCAAAGACCCUUCUUCUACUAAGUUCCUUCUGAAAGGGCUACAGGAAGUACCUAAGGGAGUCAAUUGGAUAUCUAAGAUAUUAAAAUGUCAUUGGGUCACUAAGGAAAAACAUCCAAAGAGACUCUUUAAAAUGCCAAGAGAAAGCUAAUGAUACUCUCAUGAAAACAGCGAUUCAUUCAACAGCGUGACAUUUGCUGCCAGGAGAGUGGCUGCAGAGCAGAACAGCGCAGGGGAAGACUCUAGAAGACCCGUGUAGUAGUUCACGUAGGAAGUGGUCUUGUUCAGGUUCUACAGAAGAUAUCAGAUACCGGUAGCAUUUGUCUCUGUGUGGGAGGAAGGGACUCUAAAAUUCAAGGUCUUUCCUCUGUCCAAGAAUGGUUCUGCGUGGACUUAUUUGUAUAUAUUGAUUUCCAUCUCGUAAGAGCCAAGAAAAGCUUUGUGAGAGAGUGAAAAGUGAGACAUGUGUGGUCUUCAUCUCUACUUUCUGGAAAUGGGGUUUGAUGAAAUCCCUUUCAGAAGAGCAGGUG